rnacentral:rRNA from 1 species
GGGUGCAGCAGGCGCGAAACCUUAGCAAUGUGCGAAAGCACGACUGGGUCAGUCCGAGUGAUUCCUGCUAAAGGAAUCUUUUGCUUGUCCUAAAAGCACAGGUGAAUAAGGGGUGGGCAAGUCUGGUGUCAGCCGCCGCGGUAAUACCAGCACCUCGAGUGGUCAGGACGUUUAUUGGGCCUAAAGCAUCCGUAGCCGGCUCUGCAAGUCUUCGGUUAAAUCCACCUGCUCAACAGAUGGGCCGCUGGAGAUACUACAGAGCUAGGGAGUGGGAGAGGCGGACGGUAUUCAGUGGGUAGGGGUAAAAUCCUCUGAUCCAUCGAGGACCACCAGUGGCGAAGGCGGUCUGCCAGAACACGUUCGACGGUGAGGGAUGAAAGCUGGGGGAGCAAACCGGAUUAGAUACCCGGGUAGUCCCAGCUGUAAACGAUGCAAACUCGGUGAUGCGUUGGUUUAUGGCCAAUGCAGUGCCGCAGGGAAGCCGUUAAGUUUGCCGCCUGGGAAGUACGGACGCAAGUCUGAAACUUAAAGGAAUUGGCGGGGGAGCAC